UGUGAGGGCAAGGAGUGGUGGCCACCACUCUCCUCGCCGAAAAAUAAGACUGGAGCAGUGGUUCAGCCCCUUCCCUCGCCGGAAAACUCAGCCCCAGUGCCCCUCCCAUGGCUGAUUUCUGGUGUUCUGCUGCUGCUGCGCAGAAUUGAAUCUGAUUACCAAUUUUAUUUUAUUUUUUUAAAUCUAGGCCAAAAUGACGUUGUUUUGGUCUUGUAACAAAAAAAAUCAAACGAAACAACGCCAUUUCGUAUAUGUUUGAAGAAAAAAUAUAUGUAUAAAUAUCCCCCUUUCCCCAUUCUCUAUCUUCUUCAGUAAGAGGCUUUGCCAAUCAGAGACAGAGAGCAAAGUGCUCUUCCCCCCCCCCCCCAAAUUCCCAGCAGCAAGUUCCAUUUGGCUUUUUGCUUCCACGCCAGCCACUCCUCCAAGCUCCAACCACUCUUUAGCCGCCAGCUGCAGCCAUUCUUUAGAAUCUUAUGGUAAUGCACUAAUAUGGUUAUUGGUGAGGCUAUAAAAGAUGAAAUUACCAUCAGGAGAAGCUUCCUUUUAUAAGUCUUGAAUGGAAGUAGAAAGAAAUAAUUCAUAUUGCACAUCAUGCCGAAGCUCAUACAUAUUCUCAUGAACACACAUCAAUUUCGUUUUAAAAAAUUACACAUGGAUUUCAAGAGAAUCUAAUAAUCCACCAAUAAACUAAUCUCAAGCAAAAGAGUUCAGCCAUAAAUUUUACCUCCAUAGUAAUAGGCAGUAGGUAGAUAAGCGUUCAGGAGAUAGCAUAUAGCGGAUGUACGAAAUCAUGUAACAAAGGGGUAACAGAGUGCUUGAUGGGAUAUGUCCAUUUGCAUUAUUGAUUUACUGUGUGAUUCCAAGGUCUUUUUGGUUCAGCAUAGAGAAGAUCAAAUAAAACUCCAGAUUACCUGUUGUUGGAAACAA
rnacentral:sRNA from 1 species